UAUAUAUAUAUAUAAUGUUUUCUCUUAUUUUCUCCAGCAAUUUGAUUUCCAUGCUUUAGAGGAAGCUACUGAAUAUGAUGGUGGGUUUACAAAUGACUCUCCUACCAUAAGGAACUUCUGGUCUGUGGUACAUGAUUUCACUGAAGAACAACAGAGGAAAUUAUUACAGUUCACCACAGGGACGGACAGAGUUCCAAUAGGUGGCCUCUCUAAAGUUAAGUUAAUUAUUGCCCGCAAUGGUCCAGAUUCUGACCGACUCCCUACAUCUCAUACCUGUUUUAAUGUUUUGUUACUACCUGACUAUUCCAAUCGGGAAAAACUGCAAGACCGACUCACGAAAGCCAUUAACUAUUCCAAAGGUUUUGGAAUGCUGUGAAACAAACUAUAAAAACAAACAAAAAAAAAAAGGACAAAGAACAAAAAGCAAACAAAAAAACAAAACAGAGUCAAAAAUAAACCCUCCCUCCCCUCCAUUUUUUUCUCCUCUCCCUGAAGUAUUAACUUUCAGCAAGUGCAACUAGUUGAAACUACCACCACAACCAAUGCUAUCAUACCGUCACCGCCAUCACCACUAUAACUACUACUACUACUACCAUAACAGUUACUAAUAUAAUUACUACUACUACCUGAAGAUCUUCAAGACCUGUUAAUUCAUUGUGGAGACCGAAUUUCUAGCAGUGCUACCAUUUUACAGUUCUGACGAUGACGAUGAUGACUACAACAACACAAGAAAACAAAGAAAUGUGUUUUAAUAUCUCUUGGGAAAAAAAAAAAAUCUUUGUUGCAAUGCAUUCCCUCUCCUACCCCAUCUCCCUCUCUUUGCUUUUUAUUGCUGCUUAAUAUUCCAAAAUAUUUUUAGCUGCUUGUGUUUACACAUUUCUGUUGAUGCGUGUGUGUGUGUGUGUGUGUGUGAAUGUGAUAGCAUUUGUGUGGGUGGUUCAAUCACAGUUGGUAGGAAUUUGCUGUGAGUAUGCUUUUCUGUAUGCAAGGGAAAACAAGACUCAAAAA